AAGGUUUUCCUCUUGUGUAGAGGCACCAUUGUCCAUUUCAGACGGGAUGACCUCAGGGGACUGUGUCAGUGACCAGGAUGGGCUAGACAAGCUGUCAGUACAUUCACCUCCUGAGACACUGAUUCCCCUGGUGUGUUUUCUGUGGGUGAAUAUCGUGGUUUCCUGGACUUGCCAUAAGCAGUGCCAAGUGCAUCAGUCACAUCUUGGCUUCUUGUGCCCUGCAGGAGUGUCACAUGACUGCCGCCCCAUGUGUGUGAGAGGCGUCCUCUGGGAGAGCAUGGAUCCUGAGGUCCCAGGAUUGUCAGCUGACCUCUGUCCUGUGUGCCCAGUGGCCCCAGGUGACGUGUCUUCAAGAAGAGGCUGAGCUGCGGUGCUUGUAAGAUGGGUCUGCUGUGUGCAGAGGCUCCAUGGGAUGUGUUGUCUUCAUAGUAGCAGGGCGCUGGACCAUGGGUCCGCAAGGUCUCAGCCUUAGAUCCAAGGACAGUCCAAGGAAGUCCUAAGACCAUGGAGUUGGUGAUCUGGGAUCUGGGUUUGCUGAUAUUUCUCACCGUGAAUCUCUUGGUGGUGUUUGUGGGCACGAGAGGGGCAGAGAAUGGAGAGUGAGGCUACCACAUGAAGCGUCACCAGAGCUGCUCCCUGCUGCCUGCUCAGAGCACCCCGGAUCCACUGUUCAAUCUGCACAAGAUUCGGGGUCCAGACAUGGGAGACUUCAGCUGCCUCAGAGGACCGUGGACAGGGAAGGCCAGCCUCGCAUCCCUCUGUCCAUGCCUGGAAUGACUUUAAUAACCAAGAGUUUUAUUUUUGAAUUUGUAGCUGUCGUUCACUUUUUACCCACCCAUUCAAUAAACCUUACAGAAUUGCUCC
rnacentral:lncRNA from 1 species